UCCGAGUUGACCCCGGCAGUCUCCCAUGAGUCCCCGCCAUUACGCGCUGGCAACAUGGAACGAGGGUUGCGCUCGUUGCGGGACUUAACCCAACAUCUCACGACACGAGCUGACGACAACCAUGCACCACCUGUAAACCGACCACAAGUGGGGCGCCUGUUUCCAGACGUUUCCGGUUCAUGUCAAGCCUUGGUAAGGUUCUUCGCGUUGCAUCGAAUUAAUCCGCAUGCUCCGCCGCUUGUGCGGGCCCCCGUCAAUUCCUUUGAGUUUUAGCCUUGCGGCCGUACUCCCCAGGCGGGGCACUUAAUGCGUUAGCUACGGCGCGGAAAACGUGGAAUGUCCCCCACACCUAGUGCCCAACGUUUACGGCAUGGACUAC
rnacentral:misc_RNA from 1 species